rnacentral:rRNA from 1 species
CCAAUAGCGUAUAUUAAAGUUGUUGCAGUUAAAAAGCUCGUAGUUGAAUUUCGGGAUUGGCGCAUCGGUCGUGCCUCACGGGGUAUGAACUGGUGCAGUCAAUUUCUCACCUUCUGGAGAACCGCGAUGUCCUUAAUUGGGUGCCGUGGGGAACCAGGACCUUUACUUUGAAAAAAUUAGAGUGUUUAAAGCAGGCAUUUUUGCUUGAAUACAUUAGCAUGGAAUAAUAAAAUAGGACGGCAUGGUUCUGUUUUGUUGGUUUCUAGGACCACCGUAAUGAUUAAUAGGGAUAGUUGGGGGCAUUAGUAUUCAAUUGUCAGAGGUGAAAUUCUUGGAUUUAUUGAAGACUAACUACUGCGAAAGCAUUUGCCAAGGAUGUUUUCAUUAAUCAAGAACGAAAGUUAGGGGAUCGAAGACGAUCAGAUACCGUCGUAGUCUUAACCAUAAACUAUGCCGACUAGGAAUCAGACGAUGUUAAUUUUUUAAUGACUCGUUUGGCACCUUACG